rnacentral:rRNA from 1 species
GACAGAGGAUGCAAGCGUUAUCCGGAAUGAUUGGGCGUAAAGCGUCUGUAGGUGGCUUUUUAAGUCCGCCGUCAAAUCCCAGGGCUCAACCCUGGACAGGCGGUGGAAACUACCAAGCUGGAGUACGGUAGGGGCAGAGGGAAUUUCCGGUGGAGCGGUGAAAUGCGUAGAUAUCGGAAGGAACACCAGUGGCGAAAGCGGCUUCCUGGUCCGACACCGACGUUCAGGCACGAAAGCGUGGGGAGCAAACAGG